GACGAACCGUCCAAACGUUAUUCGGAAUCACUGGGCUUAAAGGGUGCGUAGGCGGCGCGGCAAGUUGGGUGUGAAAUCCCUCGGCUCAACCGAGGAACUGCGCCCAAAACUGCCGUGCUUGAGGGAGAUAGAGGUGAGCGGAACUUAGGGUGGAGCGGUGAAAUGCGUUGAUAUCCUAAGGAACACCGGUGGCGAAAGCGGCUCACUGGAUCUCUUCUGACGCUGAGACACGAAAGCUAGGGUAGCGAACGGG
rnacentral:rRNA from 1 species